rnacentral:rRNA from 1 species
GCAUAUCCAAUAAGCGGAGGAAAAAGAAACUAACAAGGAUUCCCCUAGUAACGGCGAGUGAAGCGGGAAGAGCUCAAAUUUGUAAUCUGGCACUUUCAGUGUCCGAGUUGUAAUCUCGAGAAGUGUUUUCCGCGCCAGACCGCAUACAAGUCUGUUGGAAUACAGCGUCAUAGUGGUGAGAACCCCGUAACUGAUGCGGAUGCCUGGUGCUCUGUGAUACACUUUCGAAGAGUCGAGUUGUUUGGGAAUGCAGCUCAAAUUGGGUGGUAAAUUCCAUCUAAAGCUAAAUAUUGGCGAGAGACCGAUAGCGAACAAGUACCGUGAGGGAAAGAUGAAAAGCACUUUGGAAAGAGAGUUAACAGUACGUGAAAUUGUUGGAAGGGAAACGCUUGAAGUCAGACUUGCUAUUUGGAAUUCAGCCGCAAGGUGUAUUUUUCAAUUCGCAGGCCAGCAUCAGUUUUUGGGGGUGGAAAAGGGUAGAGAGAAGGUAGCAACUCCGGUUGUGUUAUAGCUCUUUGCUGGAUUCAUCCUUGGGGACUGAGGAACGCAGCACGCUUUUUGCAAGGCUUUCGAGCUUUUCGUGCUUAGGAUGCUGGUGGAAUGGCUUUAAACGACCCGUCUUGAAACACGGACCAAGGAGUCUAACAUGCUUGCGAGUAUUUGGGUGUCAAACCCGGAUGCGCAAUGAAAGUGAAUGGAGGUGGGAAGCGCAAGCUGCACCAUCGACCGAUCUGGAUUUUUUAAGAUGGAUUUGAGUAAGAGCAAUUAUGUUGGGACCCGAAAGAUAGUGAACUAUGCCUGAAUAGGGCGAAGCCAGAGGAAAGCUCUGGUGGAGGCUCGUAGCGGUUCUGACGUGCAAAUCGAUCGUCAAAUUUGGGUAAUAGGGGGCGAAAGACUAAUCGAACUAUCUAGUAGCUGGUUCUGCGA